AUGGCUGAAGCAACAGCUGAGUUACCAACGUCAUUUGCAUGCGAGAUCAUCAAAGACCUCCAGCUGCAGUUUCAGCAGUGGUUUUCUGACUUGGAUUCAAAGGCAGAAGAAGUGAGACUGUUUCAAAACCCAUUUGAAGCAGAUGUGGCCAGUUUCCCAGAUGAACUGCAGCUGGAUGUCAUUGAGUUGCAAGCAAAUGACUUCCUUAGGAACAAAGAAGGACUGGUGGGUUUUUACCAAUUUUUGCCCAAGGAAGACUUUCCUAGUGUCACAACUUUUGCAUCAAGAUGUGGAAUGUGCAAGAACAUUACUGAGUUCUAUUCUUCUCUUCCAGAUUCUUAUGGACAGUCCCUGACCUCCUCUGAUUCUGUGGUGAAGAGACCUGGAGAGUCGGUCACUCUGUCUUGUACUGUCUCCGGUUUCUCAAUGGGCAGCUACAACAUGCACUGGAUCCGUCAGAAACCAGGACAAGGACUGGAGUGGAUCGGGCGCAUUGACACUGGCACUGCAUUCGCUCAGUCUCUACAGGGCCAGUUCUCCAUCAAUAAAGACACCAAUAAAAACUUGCUGUACCUAGAAGUGAAGAGUCUGAAAGCUGAAGACACGGCAGUUUAUUACUGUGCACGAGAGUCACACUGACACAACAGGCUCCAGAGCUGUA